rnacentral:rRNA from 1 species
UAAUACGUAGGGUCCGAGCGUUGUCCGGAGUUACUGGGCGUAAAGCGCGCGCAGGCGGUGAUCUAAGCCUACCGUGAAAGCCCUCGGCUCAACCGGGGAGAGUCGGUGGGGACUGGGUCACUUGAGGGCGGCAGGGGUCGGUGGAAUCCCCGGUGUAGUGGUGAAAUGCGUAGAGAUCGGGGGGAACACCCGUGGCGAAGGCGGCCGACUGGGCCGACUCUGACGCUGAGGCGCGAAGGCGUGGGGAGCGAACGGGAUUAGAUACCCCGGUAGUCCACGCAGUAAACGAUGCAGACUAGGCGUGGGGGGACUUGACCCCCUCCGUGCCGGAGCUAACGCGGGAAGUCUGCCGCCUGGGGAGUACGGCCGCAAGGCUA